CAAGGAAGUUGACAGAUUCCUCAGAGAAGGAAAAGUCAAAUUUGAUGGUAUAAGAUUUUCAGGAGCUUGUUGGAGGAGCUCCUGUUCAAGUGCUGCCAUGAAUAUGUUUGCAUAGGGGUAAUUGUGUUGAUUUCUUUCAACAUGUCUAUACAGGCUUGGAUGCCUUGAUCAUUAGGUAUGUUGGUAUAGAGACUUCUUACGUCAAUAGUAAUAAGUAUGAACUUGUCUGGUAGUGUGUUAUUCUGA